GACGAACGCUGGCGGCGUGCCUAAUACAUGCAAGUUGAGCGCUGAAGGUUGGUACUUGUACCAACUGGAUGAGCAGCGAACGGGUGAGUAACGCGUGGGGAAUCUGCCUUUGAGCGGGGGACAACAUUUGGAAACGAAUGCUAAUACCGCAUAAAAACUUUAAACACAAGUUUUAAGUUGAAAGAUGCAAUUGCAUCACUCAAAGAUGAUCCCGCGUUGUAUUAGCUAGUUGGUGAGGUAAAGGCUCACCAAGGCGAUGAUACAUAGCCGACCUGAGAGGGUGAUCGGCCACAUUGGGACUGAGACACGGCCCAAACUCCUACGGGAGGCAGCAGUAGGGAAUCUUCGGCAAUGGACGAAAGUCUGACCGAGCAACGCCGCGUGAGUGAAGAAGGUUUUCGGAUCGUAAAACUCUGUUGGUAGAGAAGAACGUUGGUGAGAGUGGAAAGCUCAUCAAGUGACGGUAACUACCCAGAAAGGGACGGCUAACUACGUG
rnacentral:rRNA from 1 species